rnacentral:rRNA from 1 species
UACAGGGGGUGCAAACGUUGCUCGGAAUCAUUGGGCGUAAAGCGCACGUAGGCGGUUCGUUAUGUCGGAUGUGAAAGCCCUUGGCUUAACCGAGGAAGUGCAUCCGAAACUGGCGAGCUAGAGUACGAAAGAGGAUCGCGGAAUUCCCGGUGUAGAGGUGAAAUUCGUAGAUAUCGGGAGGAACACCGGUGGCGAAGGCGGCGAUCUGGGUCGAUACUGACGCUGAGGUGCGAAAGCAUGGGGAGCAAACAGG